rnacentral:lncRNA from 1 species
CGAUUAGGAUCCUGUUUGAAAUGUUUGACAAAGUUAAAACUGGCCUAGAAAGGCUGGCUUUACGGCCUGUACUAAAUUAAUGUGUGACUUGCAAAUUUUUCCAGGUUUGAUUUUUUAUUUCCUUUCCUGCAGUUGCUAAAAGUCAUGAUGAAACUGAGUAUGCCUAAGAAACUGCCCUACCAUUGAAUAUAUUUAUCUGUCUACACAGAAGCUCCCACCUCCUUGUGUUGCCCUUUGCUAUGCAUGGAGCAUAGCAUGCACUCACCAUGGGGUUUUCUUCAGAGCAGCGCUGCAUUUCUCUGCCCUGCCCAACACUGGCAACCAUUACUCUAGGUAUUGUAUGAGGAAAAGCAUGUCGUGCUGUUAGAGAACAAGACGGUGACAGAAAUGGAAUUGAGCUGUAGACACCGGGGCUAUGUCCUACUUUAAAACUGUUCUGUAAGCCCAAAACCAUUCCCCAGUUGUUUAGUAAUAAGGUAAAAUUCCAAGAAAUAAAUCAAAAUUAUAUCAGAG